GGAUGUGAGGGCAAUCUGGCUGCGACAUCUGUCACCCCAUUGAUCGCCAGGGUUGAUUUGGCUGAUCUGGCUGGCUAGGCGGGUGUCCCCUUCCUCCCUCACCGAUCCAGCUACACGCUCGGUGAAAGAGAGGAGAGGACCAGUCUUCAGUCAAGGCCGUAGGAGUAGCUGCGCUCCCCUGCUGGGGCCUCCAGACAAGCUCUCAAGGCCCAUCUGCAGGAGAAAGUAGGGUAGUCAAGCUCCCAAGUCUCCAGGCACAUCCAGAUGAGAUGCUGCACGUGGCAGUCUGCCUUUCUUA
rnacentral:snRNA from 1 species